AGUGAACGCUGGCGGUAGGCCUAACACAUGCAAGUCGAACGGCAGCACAGUAAGAGCUUGCUCUUACGGGUGGCGAGUGGCGGACGGGUGAGGAAUACAUCGGAAUCUACUUUUUCGUGGGGGAUAACGUAGGGAAACUUACGCUAAUACCGCAUACGACAUACGGGUGAAAGCAGGGGAUCUUCGGACCUUGCGCGAUUGAAUGAGCCGAUGUCGGAUUAGCUAGUUGGCGGGGUAAAGGCCCACCAAGGCGACGAUCCGUAGCUGGUCUGAGAGGAUGAUCCGCCCCACUGGAACUGAGACACGGUCCAGACUCCUACGGGAGGCAGCAGUGGGAAAUAUUGGACAAUGGGCGCAAGCCUGAUCCAGCCAUACCGCGUGGGUGAAGAAGGCCUUCGGGUUGUAAAGCCCUUUUGUUGGGAAAGAAAAGCAGCAGGUUAAUACCCCGCUGUUCUGACGGUACCCAAAGAAUAAGCACCGGCUAACUUCGUG
rnacentral:rRNA from 1 species